rnacentral:rRNA from 1 species
AGUGAACGCUGGCGGUAGGCCUAACACAUGCAAGUCGAACGGCAGCACAGUAAGAGCUUGCUCUUACGGGUGGCGAGUGGCGGACGGGUGAGGAAUACAUCGGAAUCUACUUUUUCGUGGGGGAUAACGUAGGGAAACUUACGCUAAUACCGCAUACGACCUACGGGUGAAAGCAGGGGAUCUUCGGACCUUGCGCGAAUGAAUGAGUCGAUGUCGGGUUAGCUAGUUGGCGGGGUAAAGGCCCACCAAGGCGACGAUCCGUAGCUGGUCUGAGAGGAUGGUAAGCGACACUGGAACGGAGACACGGACCAGACGCCUACGGGAGGCAGCAGUGGGGAAUAUUAGACAGUGGGCGGAAGCAUGGUCCAGCCAUACCGCGUGUGUGAAAAAGGCCUUCGGGUUGUAAAGCCCUUUUGUUGGGAAAGAAAAGCAGCAGGUUAAUACCCCGCUGUUCUGACGGUACCCAAAGAAUAAGCACCGGCUAACUUCGU